rnacentral:misc_RNA from 1 species
CUAAAAAUCUUGGUCUUGCAUCUCUUGCUACUUUGGUUGCAACAGUUGUUGUCAUGUUAUUGAACUAUCCGCUGGGAAGAUUACAGGAGAACUUUCAGGAUAAGUUGAUGAAAUGUAAGGAUAAAAGAAUGAAGGCAACUUCUGAGAUUUUAAGGAAUAUGAGAAUCCUCAAGCUUCAGGCGUGGGAAAUGAAGUUUUUGUCUAAGAUUGAAGAGCUGCGGAAGACUGAGGCAGGAUGGUUGAAGAAAUUUGUUUACAGUUCAUCAAUUGUCAGUUUUGUCUUUUGGGGGGCUCCUACUUUUGUGUCUGUGGCUACUUUUGGUGCUUGUAUGCUUAUGGGAAUUCCCCUCGAGUCAGGAAAGAUCUUAUCAGCGCUUGCAACGUUCAGGAUUCUUCAAGAGCCUAUCUAUAAUCUUCCUGACACAAUUUCUAUGAUAGUUCAGACCAAGGUUUCCCUUGAUAGAAUUGCAUCUUUCCU